AGGAUGAACGCUGGCGGCGUGCCUAACACAUGCAAGUCGAACGCUCGCAAGAGAGUGGCGCACGGGUGAGUAACACGUAGCUGACCUGCCUUCAAGUGUCGGAUAACGUUCCGAAAGGGACGCUAAUACGGCGUAAGCUCCCGGUCUUUAGAGGGCUGAGAGAAAAGAUUUAUCGCUUGAAGAGGGGGCUGCGACCCAUCAGGUAGUUGGUAAGGUAACGGCUUACCAAGCCAACGACGGGUAGGGGGUCUGAGAGGAUGAUCCCCCACACUGGGACUGAGACACGGCCCAGACUCCUACGGGAGGCAGCAGUGAGGGAUAUUGGUCAAUGGGGGCAACCCUGAACCAGCGACGCCGCGUGGGUGAUGAAGGUCUCGGAUCGUAAAACCCUUUCAGGUGACGAGACAAGGACGUAGCCUAGGAAUAAGUCUACGGCUAACUACGUGCCAGCAGCCG
rnacentral:rRNA from 1 species